UGCGAACGGGUGAGUAACGCGUAGGUAACCUGCCUUGUAGCGGGGGAUAACUAUUGGAAACGAUAGCUAAUACCGCAUAACAAUGGAUGACACAUGUCAUUUAUUUGAAAGGGGCAAUUGCUCCACUACAAGAUGGACCUGCGUUGUAUUAGCUAGUAGGUGAGGUAACGGCUCACCUAGGCGACGAUACAUAGCCGACCUGAGAGGGUGAUCGGCCACACUGGGACUGAGACACGGCCCAGACUCCUACGGGAGGCAGCAGUAGGGAAUCUUCGGCAAUGGGGGCAACCCUGACCGAGCAACGCCGCGUGAGUGAAGAAGGUUUUCGGAUCGUAAAGCUCUGUUGUAAGUCAAGAACGAGUGUGAGAGUGGAAAGUUCACACUGUGACGGUAGCUUACCAGAAAGGGACGGCUAACUACGUGCCAGCAGCCGCGGUAAUACGUAGGUCCCGAGCGUUGUCCGGAUUUAUUGGGCGUAAAGCGAGCGCAGGCGGUUUGAUAAGUCUGAAGUUAAAGGCUGUGGCUCAACCAUAGUUCGCUUUGGAAACUGUCAAACUUGAGUGCAGAAGGGGAGAGUGGAAUUCCAUGUGUAGCGGUGAAAUGCGUAGAUAUAUGGAGGAACACCGGUGGCGAAAGCGGCUCUCUGGUCUGUAACUGACGCUGAGGCUCGAAAGCGUGGGGAGCGAACAGGAUUAGAUACCCUGGUAGUCCACGCCGUAAACGAUGAGUGCUAGGUGUUGGAUCCUUUCCGGGAUUCAGUGCCGCAGCUAACGCAUUAAGCACUCCGCCUG
rnacentral:rRNA from 1 species